GACGAACGCUGGCGGCGUGCUUAACACAUGCAAGUCGAACGAAGUGGCGAACGGGUGAGUAACGCGUAAUCAACCUGCACUUCAAAGAGGGACAACAGUUGGAAACGACGGCUAAUCCCACAUCCUGCAGGAGGGGAUUGCGUCUGAUUCGCGAGUUGGAGGGCGAACGGCCCACAAAGGCGAGGAUAAGUAGCCGGUCUGAGAGGAUGAACGGCCACAUUGGGACUGAGACACGGCCCAGACUACUACGGGAGGCAGCAGUGGGGAAUCUUCCGCAAUGGACGAAAGUCUGACGGAGCAACGCCGCGUGAGUGAUGACGGCCUUCGGGUUGUAAAGCUCUGUUAAUCGGGACGCGGUACCGGAAUAGAAAGCCACGGCUAACUACGUGCCAGCAGCCGCGGUAAUAC
rnacentral:rRNA from 1 species